GUUACUGCUAUCGGGGUUCGAUUAAGCCAUGCAAGUUAAAUGUUUUUCGUAAACAUAGCGAACUGCUCAGUAACACGUGGAUAACUUAACCUUAGGUCCGGCAUAACCCCGGGAAACUGGGGAUAAUUCCGGAUGUAUCAAGGAUGCUGGAAUGCCCUUUGGUUCAAAGCUUUUGUGCCUAAGGAUAGGUCUGCGGUCUAUCAGGUAGUAGUGGGUGUAACGUACCUACUAGCCGACGACGGAUACGGGUUGUGAGAGCAAGAGCCCGGAGAUGGAUUCUGAGACACGAAUCCAGGCCCUACGGGGUGCAGCAGGCGCGAACACUUUACAAUGCGGGAAACCGCGAUAAGGGAACCCCGAGUGCCAGUACUAAGUGCUGGCUGUCUAGAUGAAUAGAUAUCAUUUAAUAGCAAGGGCCGGGCAAGACCGGUGCCAGCCGCCGCGGUAACACCGGCGGCCCGAGUGGUAACCGAUAUUAUUGGGUCUAAAGGGUCCGUAGCCUGUUUAAUAAGUCCUUUGGGAAAUCUGGCAGCUUAACUGUCAGGCUGCUAAAGGAUACUGUUAAACUUGGGACCGGUAGACGUAGGGGGUACUCCAGGGGUAGGAGUGAAAUCUUGUAAUCCCUGGGGGACCAUCUGUGGCGAAGGCGCCCUACGAGAACGGGUCCGACGGUGAGGGACGAAAGCUAGGGGAGCAAACCGGAUUAGAUACCCGGGUAGUCCUAGCUGCAAACGAUGCUCGCUAGGUGUCAGGCACGGUGCGUCCGUGUCUGGUGCCGCAGGGAAGCCGUUAAGCGAGCCACCUGGGGAGUACGGUCGCAAGGCUGAAACUUAAAGGAAUUGGCGGGGGAGCACUACAACGGGUGGAGCCUGCGGUUUAAUUGGAGUCAACGCCGGA
rnacentral:rRNA from 1 species